rnacentral:tRNA from 1 species
GGGCUUGUAGCUCAGUUGGUUAGAGCACACCCCUGAUAAGGGUGAGGUCAGUAGUUCGAGUCUACUCAGGCCCACCA